GUGCUUGCUUCAGCAGCACAUAUACUAAAAUUGGAAUGAAGAUUAGCAUGGCUCCUAUACAAGAAUAACACACAAAUUCAUGACUUCUGGAGAUGUAAAUUAUU
rnacentral:snRNA from 1 species